rnacentral:rRNA from 1 species
ACAGGGUGACAGGUGGUGCAUGGUGUCGUCAGCUCGUGUCGUGAGAUGUUGGGUUAAGUCCCGCAACGAGCGCAACCCUCGACCUUAGUUGCCAGCAUUCAGUUGGGCACUCUAAGGUGACUGCCGGCUAAAAGUCGGAGGAAGGUGGGGAUGACGUCAAAUCAUCAUGCCCCUUAUGACCUGGGCUACACACGUGCUACAAUGGGCGGUACAAAGGGUCGCGAACCCGCGAGGGGGAGCCAAUCCCAAAAAGCCGCUCUCAGUUCGGAUUGCAGGCUGCAACUCGCCUGCAUGAAGCCGGAAUCGCUAGUAAUCGCGGAUCAGCAUGCCGCGGUGAAUACGUUCCCGGGCCUU